rnacentral:tRNA from 35 species
GGUCGCGUAGCUCAGUUGGUAGAGCACUACCUUGACAUGGUAGUGGUCGCUGGUUCAAGUCCAGUCGUGGCCACCA